rnacentral:snRNA from 14 species
UCUCUGGAAGGGCAGGGGAGAAACCAUAAUCAGGAAGGUGGUUUACCCAGGCCACGAUUUAUCCAUUGCACCCAAGAUGUGCUGACUUCUUCAGUUUUCCCAAAUGUGGGAAAUUCAACUGCAUAAUUUACAGUAGUAGGGGCAUUGCAUCCACGCACCCCCCCU